UACGUAGGACGCAAGCGUUAUCCGGAGUUACUGGGCGUAAAGCGCGGGCAGGCGGCUCGAAACGUCUGAUGUGAAAUCUCCUCGCUCAACGGGGAGAGGCCAUUGGAAACGGUCGAGCUGGAGGGCAGUAGAGGUAGGCGGAAUUCCGGGUGGAGUGGUGAAAUGCGUAGAGAUCCGGAGGAACACCAGAGGCGAAGGCGGCCUACUGGGCUGCACCUGACGCUGAGCCGCGAAAGCUAGGGGAGCGAACGGG
rnacentral:rRNA from 1 species